UGGGAACAUACCCUUCGGUUCGGAAUAACUCAGGGAAACUUGGGCUAAUACCGGAUACGUCCGUGAGGAGAAAGAUUCAUCGCCGAAGGAUUGGCCCGCGUAAGAUUAGCUAGUUGGUGAGGUAACGGCUCACCAAGGCUAUGAUCUUUAGCUGGUCUGAGAGGACGAUCAGCCACACUGGGACUGAGACACGGCCCAGACUCCUACGGGAGGCAG
rnacentral:rRNA from 1 species